AUACAAGUGUCAGAAGGUUAUGAGUUAAUUUUAAGCGUUAAUUAUAGAGGUUAGCUCUCUUGUAUU
rnacentral:tRNA from 1 species